UUCACAUUCAUGUAUUUGGCAGAUGUUUGUAUCCAAAAGUGACUUACAUUGCAUUCACUUUAUUCUUUAUGCAAGCUGUUCAUGCAUUCCCUGGGAAUCGAACCCAUGACCUUCGUGUUUCAAAUGUUUCACUAUACUCUUUAAACAUUCACAUUCAUGGAUUUGGCAGAUUCUUGUAUCGAAAAGUGAAUUGCAUUGGAUUCACUGUAUUCUUUAUGUAAUCUGUUCAUGCCUUCCUGGGAAUCGAACCCAUGACCUUGGUGUUGCAAAUCUAUUUCACUAUUUUUAUAUUUACAUUCAUGCAUUUGGCAGAUUCUUGUAUCAAAAAGUGACUUACAUUGCAUUAACUGUAUUCUUUAUGAAAUCUGUUCAUGCUUUCCGUAGGAAUCGAACCCAUGACCUUGGUGUUGCAAAUCUGUUUCAUUAUACUUUUUAAUCAUUUACAAUACAUUAAUGAAUUUGGCAGAUGCAUAUAUCCAAAAUAAAUUUACAUUGCAUUCACUUCACUGUAUUCUUUAUGAAAUCUGUUCAUGCUUUUCCUGGGAAUCGAACCCACGACCUUGGUGUUGCAAAUCUGUUUCACUAUACUCUUUGAACAUUUACAUUCAUGCAUUUGGCAGAUGUUUGUAUCCAAAGUGACUUUCAUUUAUUUGAAUGUGAUUAGUUCAUGCUUUCCCUGGGAAUCGAACCCAUGAUCUUGGUGUUGCGAGCACCUGCUCUACUGUUUGAGCUUCAGGAAGGCAAUCUCAUGAUUUCAGACCCUGUUUUAACUCUGUCAUGAUGAUUAGGAGCAUGUUAUAUUUGACUGAAACGUGUGAUGCAAUCGUGUUUGAGAUAUGACGAGUGUUUGAGCUCUGCUGCGGCCGGAGUCCUUGACCCGUCGAAUGAAAGCGCAGCGCUGGAAUACCUGCGUCAUACGGGCAUGUGGCAAGAUCUGCUUGACCUGUCGAUGUGACGAUUACAGAAUCAUGAUCCACUGAUGUCUGUGCCGUUGAUCUACAGAGCUGAACACUGUCUGGAAAACUUACACAUGCUUCACAGGAUCAUUCCUGUUCAAUGAGCUUCAGUUCAGAAUGAUUUUGAUUUAGCAGCAUGUGAAGGAUGAUGAGCGUUUCAGACUGAAGAAUUGCUGCAUUGACAUCAGAAGAGUAGGAAUGUCUGGAGUCAAGGAGUUGUCGGGAACAACGGCUCGUUCUCAAUCAGUCUGACCAGAGAGAUAUUCUCAUCUCCAGCAUGAGUGCAGUGAAAUGACAUGUGACGUGUGUCUUACCUCCAAUACAUCCUGCAACAAAGUCCAGAGCCAUUCCUGAGGUGAUGAUGAUGAAGAUGAAGAGCCGGUGGUCUGUCCCUCUGGUCUUCUGCUCGGUGUGUUGGUCUGCGCUCACCAGCAGCUGCUGCCAACGGGGCCGCUAUUUUUACUGAAUGAAGUUGAUAUGAAGGGGAAAGUCCAUCUGUGACCAAUAGAAACUCAAGGAUGAAGAAACACCCCCAUCAUCAUCAUCAUCAUCAUCAUACACGUCUGUGCUUACAGACACGAUUUACUGCCAGAGAGAGUAAAUCAACUCAUAAUGCUGCAGGAUCUGAUUUCCAGUGCAGUAGAACUUAAUAUGUAGUUAUUAUCGACUAAACUGUUACAUUAAAUAAAAUAAACUUUCUUUCCAUUCAAACUCAUUUAACAUAAUUAUACAAAUAAACAUUUCCUUUAAAGACA